CCAGUAGUCAUAUGCUUGUCUCAAAGAUUAAGCCAUGCAUGUCUAAGUAUAAAGCAACUAUACGGUGAACUGCGAAUGGCUCAUUAAAUCAGUUAUCGUUUAUUUGAUAGUACCUUACUACAUGGAUAACCGUGGUAAUUCUAGAGCUAAUACAUGCUAAAAACCCCGACUUCGGAAGGGGUGUAUUUAUUAGAUAAAAAACCAAUAUCGGGCAACCGAUUUCCUUGGUGAUUCAUGACAACUUUUCGAAUCGUAUGACUUAACGUCGACGAUGAAUCAUUCAAAUUUCUGCCCUAUCAACUUUCGAUGGUAGGAUAGAGGCCUACCAUGGAAUAUUUCAACGGGUAACGGGGAAUUAGGACGUUCGACUCCGGAGAGGGAGCCUGAGAAACGGCUACCACAUCCAAGGAAGGCAGCAGGCGCGCAAAUUUACCCAAUCCCGACACGGGGAGGUAGUGACAAUAAAUACUGAUACAGGGCUCUUUUGGGUCUUGUAAUUGGAAUGAGUACAAUUUAAAUCCCUUAACGAGGAACAAUUGGAGGGUCAAGUCUGGUGCCAGCAGCCGCGGUAAUUCCAGCUCCAAUAGCGUAUAUUAAAGUUGUUGCAGUUAAAAAGCUCGUAGUUGAACCUUGGGCCUGGCUGGCCGGUCCGCCUCACCGCGUGUACUGUUAUCAUUGAUUUCUCACCUUCUAAAGAACCGUAAUGCCAUUAAUUUGGUGUUACGGGGAAUUAGGACCGUUACCUUGAAAAAAUUAG
rnacentral:rRNA from 1 species